AUCACUUCCUGUUCUCUAAGUCAACAGGCUGAAAAGAAGGAACAGUACAAACAGGAGGGGCGACUGACCCAGGCCAAAGGGAAAUGGGACUGUUUCUCUGCCAAGGAGGUGAAGAACCGAGACCGGCUGAGGUGCUCGCUGAAGGUGGAGGGACUACGGAAUGGGUAGUGGAAGACAGUUAUAAAUUCC